rnacentral:lncRNA from 1 species
CACAGGUUAAAGACGAAGAAUAAGAAGAUCCCCGCCUUGAUGGACAAGGAGAAAAGCAGGGCCCUGAUGAGGGAGCCCCGCACUGCCAGGAUGGAGCAGGAGUGUCAAAGGAAGCCUUCCAACAGCGGUGGCACAGGCGCCAAGGCAGCAAGGAAGGGUGGGAGCUCUGCAAGGCACCGGGCACUCCAGGCAGAAGGACCUGUGUGGGGAAAAGCAAGGCAGCUGGAAAAAGCAAGCGGAGCUGCGAAGGCGCCAA